rnacentral:misc_RNA from 1 species
GAGCUAGUUGGAUGCAAAAAAUGGGUUCCUGUGUUGCAUACCUAUUGCGAUGGAAAUUUGUCCAUUUCGUUGUCCCUUUCGUCACAACAUCCUUCUGGAUGCUUUGUCGGACUAGAUAGUAGGGCUCGUGUUCCACGAACCAUCUCAUGUGAUCGUUCGAAUGGACCAUGAGCGCCUACUCGUUCUCUCGGAUGCGGAACUCACUUCAUGGGUAUGGGCUCAUUGCCCUUUGUUCCCAAAUCUUUAAGCGUUCGUCGCUUUAUCGGAAUGACGCUCUUGCCUUGUCUUUGGACCAUGUGGAGCUUUCGGGCUUCAUGAUGGAUCAUGCUUGGUGGACGUCGUGAAGGAAUGC